rnacentral:rRNA from 1 species
GUUAGGAAUAUUGGACAAUGGGCGCAAGCCUGAUCCAGCCAUGCCGCGUGAACGAUGAAGGCCUUCGGGUUGUAAAGUUCUUUAGCCGAUGAUUAUAAUGACUGUAGUCGGAAAAUAAGCCCCGGCUAACUUCGUGCCAGCAGCCGCGGUAAUACGAAGGGGGCGAGCGUUAUUCGGAAUCACUGGGCGUAAAGCGUGCGUAGGCGGUCUCGUAAGUUAGGAGUGAAAGCCCAGGGCUCAACCUUGGAAUUGCUCUUAAAACUGCAAGGCUAGAAUCUCGGAGAGGAUAGCGGAAUUUCCAGUGUAGCAGUGAAAUGCGUAGAUAUUGGAAGGAACACCAGUGGCGUAAGCGGCUAUCUGGACGAGUAUUGACGCUGAGGCACGAAAGCGUGGGGAUCAAACAGGAUUAGAUACCCGAGUAGUCC